CUACGGGAGGCAGCAGUGGGGAAUUUUGGACAAUGGGGGCAACCCUGAUCCAGCCAUACCGCGUGAGUGAAGAAGGCCUUCGGGUUGUAAAGCUCUUUUGUCAGGGAGGAAAUCCCUGGGGAUAAUACCCCUGGGGGAUGACAGUACCUGAAGAAUAAGGACCGGCUAACUACGUGCCAGCAGCCGCGGUAAUACGUAGGGUCCAAGCGUUAAUCGGAAUUACUGGGCGUAAAGCGUGCGCAGGCGGCUGAUUAAGCCAGAUGUGAAAUCCCCGGGCUCAACCUGGGAACUGCGUUUGGAACUGGUCAGCUAGAGUACGUCAGAGGGGGGUAGAAUUCCACGUGUAGCAGUGAAAUGCGUAGAGAUGUGGAGGAAUACCGAUGGCGAAGGCAGCCUCCUGGGAUGACACUGACGCUCAUGCACGAAAGCGUGGGGAGCAAACAGGAUUAGAAACCCCUGUAGUCC
rnacentral:rRNA from 1 species